GCUGGUUGUUCUCCAUGAUCGAGGGGGUCGCGGAGCUGCUGCCCAGUUCGGCCAGUCUCCGGUUGGUGGCUGUCAGCUCGGCUCGCAGAGGCCAGGAACAGAGCCCAAAGACCGACCGACCUACCACAGCAGCCUGAAGGAUGGAGCCUUGCAACAAGCAGGUGUAGUAGCAGUUUCUCGUACUACACCGGCUCCCCCCAAAAAAAUCCUACAGCAAAUCACUGUAUGCAUAAAAUCCAAGAAACUCACCAGCCACUUGGUGACAAUUCGCAAACAGAAAGGGAGGCAUGAGUCCUGGAAUGCCCGAUAUCUCUAGCUACUGUUCCCUUUAGGAUUUGAUUUCUCCGCACACUGAGCUUUUGCCUGAAGAGAGUGCACAGUAUAGCAGAAAUUCUGAGAUGUCAGCCGGCAGCUGGCGUGGUGAGAGUCGAAGAGAAAAUGAGCAGCUCGCUAUGUGCCCACAGGCAUAAGCAUGAGACAGCGACAUGGGCAAAGUGAUUUUCAGUGUGACAGAGUUGGAGUUUGCUGGCCGCAUACAAUUAAAACAGAAUAAAACCCUCUUCUUGCUGAGCUCCAGAUCACAGAUGGUCCCCCAAUGGGGUGCAGCAGCAGCAUAAGAAACACUCAUGCAAAAUGGGGAAACUGAAGCACAGAGUGAUUACAUGACUUGCCCAAGGUCGCACAAGAAGUCUGGAGUGACACCAAAUCCUCCAAGCCCCAGUUCAGUGCUUUAUCUCCACUGACACCCUCUUAUUCUAGGUGUUCAGUAACUUGUAGAAUCAAACACAAACUUAACACCAGUAUUCUUAAAUAUCUGAAAAGUUAAAUAUUGAGCAACAAGUUUCAGGAGAAAUGGACCUUAAGAGAAGACUAUAUUCUCCAAGACGUUAUAGAAGAUGGGUGGGUGGAGGGAAUCCAAGUAAUAUUUGGAAAUAUUAAAAUACAGUCUAUAUUGUUUGGUAUUGCUUUAGAUGUCUGAGUUUUUUCAGGCCAGGGAAUGGGAGGGAAGUCGGAAAUGAAAGGGGUGGGGAGUAAGAAAGAGGUACCAUUAAGAGUUCUGGCCAACCUCUAAUUUGCUAUUCAGUUUACCAGCCUGUAGUUUAUUAUGUAUGGUAUGUGAAGGAACCUGUUUAGCCAGAAGGGAAAUGCCUUUUGUGUUAAGAGUGACCGUAAUCUAAUAUGGCCUUUUGACUUGACUCAAUUAAAUCCUUUCUGUUUCGAUUAAAUAAUCAGCCACAAUUUAAUAAAAUGAAUUUCAGUG